GCGAUCAUACCAGCACUAAUGCACCGGAUCCCAUCAGAACUCCGCUGUUAAGCGUGCUUGGGCGAGAGUAGUACUAGGAUGGGUGACCUCCUGGGAAGUCCUCGUGUUGCACCCC
rnacentral:rRNA from 1 species